rnacentral:rRNA from 1 species
UACAGGGGGUGCAAACGUUGCUCGGAAUCAUUGGGCGUAAAGCGCACGUAGGCGGUUCGUUAUGUCGGAUGUGAAAGCCCUUGGCUUAACCGAGGAAGUGCAUCCGAAACUGGCGAGCUAGAGUACGAAAGAGGAUCGCGGAAUUCCCGGUGUAGAGGUGAAAUUCGUAGAUAUCGGGAGGAACACCGGUGGCGAAGGCGGGUCUCUGGGCAGUAACUGACGCUGAGGAGCGAAAGCGUGGGGAGCGAACAGG